rnacentral:rRNA from 1 species
UCCCGAGCGUUNUCCGGAUUUAUUGGGCGUAAAGGGAGCGCAGGCGNUCAGGAAAGUCUGGAGUAAAAGGCUAUGGCUCAANCAUAGUGUGCUCUGGAAACUNUCUGACUUGAGUGCAGAAGGGGAGAGUGGAAUUCCAUGUGUAGCGGUGAAAUGCGUAGAUAUAUGGAGGANCACCAGUGGCGAAAGCGGCUCUCUGGUCUGUCACUGACGCUGAGGCUCGAAAGCGUGGGUAGCGAACAGGAUUAGAUACCCUGGUAGUCCACGCCGUAAACGAUGAGUGCUAGGUGUUAGGCCCUUUCCGGGGCUUAGUGCCGGAGCUAACGCAAUAAGCACUCCGCCUGGGGAGUACGACCGCAAGGUUGAAACUCAAAGGAAUUGACGGGGGCCCGCACAAGCGGUGGAGCAUGUGGUUUAAUUCGAAGCAACGCGAAGAACCUUACCAGGUCUUGACAUCCCGAUGCUAUUCUUAGAGAUAGGAAGUUACUUCGGUACAUCGGAGACAGGUGGUGCAUGGUUGUCGUCAGCUCGUGUCGUGAGAUGUUGGGUUAAGUCCCGCAACGAGCGCAACCCUUAUUGUUAGUUGCCAUCAUUAAGUUGGGCACUCUAGCGAGACUGCCGGUAAUAAACCGGAGGAAGGUGGGGAUGACGUCAAAUCAUCAUGCCCCUUAUGACCUGGGCUACACACGUGCUACAAUGGUCGGUACAACGAGUUGCGAGCCGGUGACGGCAAGCUAAUCUCUGAAAGCCGAUCUCAGUUCGGAUUGGAGGCUGCAACUCGCCUCCAUGAAGUCGGAAUCGCUAGUAAUCGCGGAUCAGCACGCCGCGGUGAAUACGUUCCCGGGCCUUGUACACACCGCCCGUCACACCACGAGAGUUUGUAACACCCGAAGUCGGUGAGGUAACCUUUUAG